rnacentral:rRNA from 1 species
GACAGAGGUGCCAAGCGUUAGGCGGAAUCACUUGGGACUUAAAGCGUGUGUAGGCGGGCGAUCAAGUAACCUUGUGAAAAUCCCACGGCUCAACCGUGGAACUGCUGGGUAUACUGGUUGUCUUUGAGCCAGCUAGGGGGCGAGCGGAACAGACGGUGGAGCGGUGAAAUGCGUAGAUAUCGUCUGGAACGCCGAAGGUGAAAACAGCUCGCUGGGGCUGCGCUGACGCUGAGACACGAAAGCCAGGGGAGCGAACGGGG